AGAGUUUGAUCCUGGCUCAGGACGAACGCUGGCGGCGCGCCUAACACAUGCAAGUCGAACGAGCGAGAGAGAGCUUGCUUUCUCGAGCGAGUGGCGAACGGGUGAGUAACGCGUGAGGAACCUGCCUCAAAGAGGGGGACAACAGUCGGAAACGACUGCUAAUACCGCAUAAGCCCACGGGUCGGCAUCGACCAGAGGGAAAAGGAGCAAUCCGCUUUGAGAUGGCCUCGCGUCCGAUUAGCUAGUUGGUGAGGUAACGGCCCACCAAGGCGACGAUCGGUAGCCGGACUGAGAGGUUGAACGGCCACAUUGGGACUGAGACACGGCCCAGACUCCUACGGGAGGCAGCAGUGGGGAAUAUUGCACAAUGGGGGAAACCCUGAUGCAGCGACGCCGCGUGGAGGAAGAAGGUCUUCGGAUUGUAAACUCCUGUUGUUGAGGAAGAUAAUGACGGUACUCAACAAGGAAGUGACGGCUAACUACGUGCCAGCAGCCGCGGUAAAACGUAGGUCACAAGCGUUGUCCGGAAUUACUGGGUGUAAAGGGAGCGCAGGCGGGAAGACAAGUUGGAAGUGAAAUCCAUGGGCUUAACCCAUGAACUGCUUUCAAAACUGUUUUUCUUGAGUAGUGCAGAGGUAGGCGGAAUUCCCGGUGUAGCGGUGGAAUGCGUAGAUAUCGGGAGGAACACCAGUGGCGAAGGCGGCCUACUGGGCACCAACUGACGCUGAGGCUCGAAAGUGUGGGUAGCAAACAGGAUUAGAUACCCUGGUAGUCCACGCCGUAAACGAUGAUUACUAGGUGUUGGAGGAUUGACCCCUUCAGUGCCGCAGUUAACACAAUAAGUAAUCCACCUGGGGAGUACGACCGCAAGGUUGAAACUCAAAGGAAUUGACGGGGGCCCGCACAAGCAGUGGAGUAUGUGGUUUAAUUCGACGCAACGCGAAGAACCUUACCAAGUCUUGACAUCCGUUGACCGCUGUAGAAAUACAGUUUUCCUUCGGGACAGCGAGACAGGUGGUGCAUGGUUGUCGUCAGCUCGUGUCGUGAGAUGUUGGGUUAAGUCCCGCAACGAGCGCAACCCUUAUGGUCAGUUACUACGCAAGAGGACUCUGGCCAGACUGCCGUUGACAAAACGGAGGAAGGUGGGGAUGACGUCAAAUCAUCAUGCCCUUUAUGACUUGGGCUACACACGUACUACAAUGGCGUUAAACAAAGAGAAGCAAGACCGCGAGGUGGGGCAAAACUCAGAAACAACGUCCCAGUUCGGACUGCAGGCU
rnacentral:rRNA from 1 species